rnacentral:rRNA from 1 species
GAUGAACGCUGGCGGCGUGCCUAACACAUGCAAGUCGAGCGGAAAGACGCAGCUUUUGCCUGGAUUCCGCGGGGGGCGGGUGUGUGAUUCACAGGAGUCUGCCUCGCCUUGGGGGCUGACAUCCGUACGAGACCGCGGAUACCACAUCCGAGAAGAUCGUGAACCUGGGGGAUCUUUGGACCUCACCGUCUUUGCUGAGCCUAGGCCGGGUUUGCUAGCUGGUUGGGUAAAGGCCUACCAAGGCGACGAUCCGAAGCUAGUCUGAGAGGAUGAUCUGUCACACUGGAACUGAGACACGGUCCAGACUCCUACGGGAGGCAGCAGUGGGGAAUAUUGGACAAUGGGCGAAAGCCUGACACAGCCAUGCCGCGUGUGUGAAGAAGGUCUUCGGAUUGUAAAGCCCUUUAAGUUGGGAGGAAGGGCAGUAAGUUAAUACCUUGCUGUUUUGACGGUACCAACAGAAUAAGCACCGGCUAACUACGUG